CUUUUUGUGCCGCUUCUUUGAAUGUUGAGCAUUCUAUAUCAUUAACCGUCAAUAAAUGUUGGAAAGAGGUUGGUCCCCUAACAUGAUUCAACAGUAGUUUUGUCACAGCCCGGCCUAAGCUAGUGUAUAGUUAAGCCGGGGAAAGAUGUGUGACUGGGGAAAGGGAGAAAGAAAAUGCAAAAACAAAAGAGGUUUCAAUAAUAAUAGUAAUAAUAUAAUAAACCUGCUUUAACAACAAUGUACCGUAUGGUCUGGUACAAUAAGCAAUCACGUUUAUAAACUAGUAAGUAGACAACUUACAACAAUAGAACAACAAGUUGUCCAAGUAUCAAGUGACAAUUCUCAAAGCUAUUAAGUUGCAAUCUUUACAACACGACCACAGAGUAAAAUACUCUAAGUGUUGUAGCGGAAUAACUUAAGUGGAUUACAUGUAUGAAGACAUGAAAUCCUGAGCCUAAUUUAAUACAUAUACAUCAAGACUUUGCUCUGCUCGCUUCCAUCUACACCGCAGCUUAACCUGCAUAUUUAGAAACAUACGCAGGGCUGAGUACCCAAAAGCACUCAGUGGUCAUGCCGAAAUAACUUUAAAGCUUGCUCUUAGAGCUAUAUNGUCACAGCCCGGCCUAAGCUAGUGUAUAGUUAAGCCGGGGAAAGGUGUGACUGGGAAAGGGAGUAAGAAAUAGACAAAAGAAAGAGAUUUACAAUAAUAAUAAUGAACCCGCUUUAACGAUGUAAUUACUUUAAUAGUAGGAUAAUCAUAAGACAAUCACUUUUAAACUCAUGAGUAGACAACUCACAAUACACAACGACAAGUUGUCUAACUUUCAAGUGAUAUAAUUCUCAAAGCUAUUGAUUUAAAAUAUGUACAACACAUCAACAAAGUAGAAUAGACUGAGUGUUGCAGCGGAAUAAUUCAUGUGGAUUACAUGUAUGAAGACAUGGAAUCCUGAGCCUAAUUUAAUAUACUCUGAAGGCUUUGCUCUGCUUGCUUCCAUCUACAUCACAGCUUAACCUGCAUAUUUAGAAACAUACGCAGGGCUGAGUACCAAAUAGCACUCAGUGGUUACAUGCCGAAAUAACUUUAAACUUGCUCUUAGAGCUAUAUAUUGAACUUGUCAUCUCAAGCAUCACACAGGAGUUUUAUUUAAAUAACCUGUGCAUGCAAAACUGUAAAACUUCUCGAUAAUCAUCAUAACAUCAUAUACGUCUGCAGACAAUGAACAUGUAUGUACCAUAUCUACGCAUCAUAUAACUCUGAGUGUUGAGAAGUAGGCCUCCUUCUCAAACACGAUGACAAGCUAACUCAAAGGUUAACUGUCAACUCUGUGUACACAAAUCCUGACUCGCUCAGGACCCGAAUUCGUUCUUCUAUGUAGAUGGUAUCAUACAAAUCUCAAAUAUUGGCAAGUCAAUAAUUUGAAAACAAAUGCAUACACUCAAACUUUGUAUUAAAGUAUGCAUCUUUAACUGUUGAGUUAGUAAGCCCACCUGAUACGCUUAAUGAAAUAGAAGUCCUUGCUUGUUCAUUCUACACUGCCACUCGAACCUUCAUUGUAAUGAGGUUCCCAUGUAAGAUUGGAUAAUAAGUAAGUAAAUAGAAAGUAAAUCUUGAAUGAAACUUCUAUCACUUGAAAGUUGCAUCCUCUAAUCUGAGUAUUCUACUUAUAUAGACUUAACUAAAAGCAAAUAGUAACAUCACAUCUCUUUGGAUAUCUCAUUGGAGAAAGCUUAAGAGUAAACUAAUCCAUUCUAUAUAGAUUAGCUUACAAUUAAUAACUGAAAACAUCAAUCACUUAGCAUUGUUCUAUUCAUAACUUGCUCAAGUAAGAAAUCUCAAAUAUGUAAUCAUAUAUGAAUCUCAACUUUGAAAUAUCAUAUAAAAUCAACCUCUUUAAAGAAAAAUACAAGCUUUACAUUUUUAGAAAUCUCUCAAAGUCUAUUUUUAUUAGAAAGUUACAAAAACACAAUACACCAAGUGUGUGAGAAGUUAUAUCACGAAAGGCAAAAUCUGCCACUGAACUUCGCUGCUUCACGCAGUACAUUUCAGAAAAUCGUUUGACACAUCUAAAGGUCUCGGAUUUAGCUGAAAUUUUACAGAAACGUACUACUCAUGAUAAAGUUAUUACAGUAAAAAUUUCAAGUUAUUUGGACUACGAAAACAUCAUCAAAAGUACCCCGAAACAUACUGUUCUGUCCAACCCGAAAACUGACAGCAAUGCUCAUUGACAUAUCACUCAUAUUUUUCUCAAAUAACAGCUAUAGGAACUCAAAUACAUCAUCUUAAUACACAUUAGCAUGCUUUAGCUUAACUUAAUUCAUGUUCAACACAUCAACAUAUAGUAGCAUGCUUAAUAUCCUCCAAUUAUUAUCAUAUAAUCUCAUUUUACAACUCAAAGAGUACAAUUACACAAGCAUCAAACAUGUAGCUAUCUUAUAUCAAGAAUUCCCAAAUCCAUUGAAACUAAACUAUUAGAAAAUCAUGAUUUCUUGCAAAUAGAAACUCAAAUAAAUCUCAAUGAUUCCCUCACAAACAUAUAAAUAUAUAUACGCAGCCAAUUGAUGGAAAUAAAGAAGAUGAAAUUCUAGGGUUCUUGAGGGAGUCAAAAAUCGAAUCUUUGGGGUAGGGUUUUGAUUUAUUUCAUCAUACUACUUAAUUCUAAACAAUUACUAACUUGAAACAUGUAGUAAUCAACAUGAUACAAGAGGCAAAAUCGUUUUCUUCCACAACAGCCUAUUUCUCGAAAUAGCAAGAAGAAGAGAUAGGAGAAUUUUCUUCGAUUCUACUAUCAAUAAGACUUAAUCCAAGAUUUCUCACCUUAAUAUACGUUUCUGGAUGAAUAUAGGUGUGAUUUUUGGAGUGAUUCUUGGAGCUUGGCUAGAAAGAGAAAAACUCAAAAUGAAGAACAGAGGAAGGGACCGAGACUUGCAGGGGAAGAAGAAAAUAUUUGGCUUUUCUCAUAAGUCUUGUUUGGCGGCUGCCCUAACAAGAAUUAAAAUAAUUUGGACAAUAUAAUUCCUUAAAGCCUACGAAAGGCUUGAUCAUGAUCCAAGUAUGAAAAA
rnacentral:lncRNA from 1 species